UUCAGGCCUAACACAUGCAAGUCGAACGAGAAGCUUUCCUUCGGGAAAGUGGAAAGUGGCAGACGGGUGAGUAACGCGUGGGAACGUGCCUUUCGGUCCGGAAUAACUCAGGGAAACUUGGGCUAAUACUGGAUACGCCCUUCGGGGGAAAGAUUUAUCGCCGAAAGAUCGGCCCGCGUCAGAUUAGCUUGUUGGUGGGGUAAUGGCUCACCAAGGCGACGAUCUGUAGCUGGUCUGAGAGGAUGAUCAGCCACACUGGGACUGAGACACGGCCCAGACUCCUACGGGAGGCAGCAGUGGGGAAUAUUGGACAAUGGGCGCAAGCCUGAUCCAGCCAUGCCGCGUGGGUGAAGAAGGCCCUAGGGUUGUAAACCCCUUUCAGCGGGGAAGAUAAUGACGGUACCCGCAGAAGAAGCCCCGGCUAACUCCGUGCCAGCAGCCGCGGUAAUACGGAGGGGGCUAGCGUUGUUCGGAAUUACUGGGCGUAAAGCGCGCGUAGGCGGACUUUCAAGUCAGGGGUGAAAUCCCGAGGCUCAACCUCGGAACUGCCUUUGAUACUGUAAGUCUUGAGUCCGAGAGAGGUGAGUGGAAUUCCUAGUGUAGAGGUGAAAUUCGUAGAUAUUAGGAAGAACACCA
rnacentral:rRNA from 1 species